rfam:Ardenticatena maritima DNA, contig: NODE_199, strain: 110S.
GCGCAAGCGACUAAGGGCGCAUGGUGGAUGCCUAGGCGCCAGGUGCCGAAGAAGGACGUGGUAGGCUGCGAAAAGCCAGGAGGAGCGGCCAACA